UACGGAAGGUCCGGGCGUUAUCCGGAUUUAUUGGGUUUAAAGGGAGCGUAGGCCGGAGAUUAAGCGUGUUGUGAAAUGUAGACGCUCAACGUCUGCACUGCAGCGCGAACUGGUUUCCUUGAGUACGCACAAAGUGGGCGGAAUUCGUGGUGUAGCGGUGAAAUGCAUAGAUAUCACGAGGAACCCCGAUUGCGAAGGCAGCCUGCCGGUGUGCCACUGACGCUGAAGCUCGAAAGUGCGGGUAUCGAACAGG
rnacentral:rRNA from 1 species